AACGGUCUAUACCUGCGGUACCUGCGGAAGGAUCAUUACUGAGCUGAUUGGAGAUGUUGCUGGCUUCUUUUUUUUGAGAGGCAAUGUGCACUCUUCCUUCAAAACUCUUAUGAUUUGUCACACCCCACUUGUGCACUCCUUGUAGGGGCCCCUCACAGGCACACAUGGGCUUGAGGGGGGUGACUCUAUGUUUUUACUUUCAACGCAUAUGCACGUAUGUCAUGAGAUAAAACAAUAAAC
rnacentral:misc_RNA from 1 species